rnacentral:rRNA from 1 species
AUGUCGCAUUCAAAUACUUCUGCCACUGACUUUUUCGCCUUCUCCAUGUUCGAUAGAAUACUACAUGUUCCAUUGGAACACCAAAAAUCAGAACAACUAAGUACUGUUGGAAUAUUCUUUCAACUGAUCAACCCCAUGAUGACAUGUCUUGCAGCGAGUGCUCACUCUCCUGAUUCUCAUGAGUCCGGAACAAAACCUGUUAUUCCCAUGUCUUCUUCUCUAUACCAGAUGGCAUGUCUAGCAGCCGGUACUGUCUCUCCACUUGAUGGUGCACCACUUUGGGUUCAAGGUCAAUGUACAAUAAUUAGGCCUCCUAUGCGCUGCCUAUAUAUGCCCGUGCUGUGCUCACUAUCAACUGUCGUCAGGGUCUUCGUAAUACGAGUCCAUAACAGUGAGCUGAGGGCUCAAUAA